UGAAUACGAGACGCUAAGGCGUUGAAGUAGUGUAUGUCAUACUUCCAAGAAAAGCUUGCACUGUCAUAGAUAAAAAACGCCUGUACCAUAACCGACACAGGUGGGUAGGUAGAGUAUACUAAGGGGCGCGAGAUAACUCUCUCUAAGGAACUCGGCAAAAUAACUCCGUAACUUCGGGAGAAGGAGUGCCUUAUUUAUAAGGCUGCAAUAACAAGAUCCAACUGUUUAUCAAAAACACAGGUCUCCGCUAAGUCGUAAGACGAUGUAUGGGGGCUGACGCCUGCCCAGUGCCAGAAGGUUAAAGAAGUUGGUUAGCAAUAGCGAAGCUGAUAACUGAAGCCCUGGUGAACGGCGGCCGUAACAAUAACGGUCCUAAGGUAGCGAAAUUCCUUGUCGGGUAAGUUCCGACCCGCACGAAAGGCGUAACGAUUUGGAUACUGUCUCGGAGAGGGGCUCGGUGAAAUAGACUUGUCUGUGAAGAUGCGGACUACCUGCACCAGGACAGAAAGACCCUAUGAAGCUUUACUGUAACUUGAAAUUGAAAUUGGACUUUAUUCGCGCAGUAUAGGUGGGAGGCGUUGAUUGUAAUCUUGCGGGAUUAUUGGAGCCAUCAGUGAGAUACCACCCUUGUAAUGUUAGAUUUCUAACUUUGAAUCAUUAUCUGGUCAAAGAACAGUUUCAGGCGGGCAGUUUGACUGGGGCGGUCGCCUCCUAAACGGUAACGGAGGCGUACAAAGGUUUCCUCUGAACGGUUAGAAAUCGUAUCUAGAGUGUAAAGGCAUAAGGAAGCUUGACUGUGAGACCUACAAGUCGAGCAGGGACGAAAGUCGGUCUUAGUGAUCUGACGGUACUGAGUGGAAAGGCCGUCACUCAACGGAUAAAAGUUACUCUAAGGAUAACAGGCUGAUCUCCCCCAAGAGUUCACAUCGACGGGGAGGUUUGGCACCUCGAUGUCGGCUCAUCGCAUCCUGGGGCGGUAGUACGUCCCAAGGGUUGGGCUGUUCGCCCAUGAAAGCGGUACGCGAGCUGGGUUCAGAACGUCGUGAGACAGUUCGGUCCAUAUCCGGUGUAGGCGUUAGAAUAUUGAGAGGAGCCUUCUUUAGUACGAGAGGACCGAGAAGGACAUACCUCUGGUGUACCAGUUAUCGUGCCAACGGUGAACGCUGGGUAGCUAUGUAUGGAGUGGAUAACCGCUGAAAGCAUCUAAGUGGGAAGCCCACCUCAAGAUAAGUAUUCCC
rnacentral:rRNA from 1 species